UUGUAUAGCUAUGUAGGUCCAACGGUACAAGAAGAACGUUAUCAAGAAAGACAUAGUCAAGGCCCAUGUAUAACAGAGUGCAUUCAAGGACUGGGCGGAUUGCAUAUCAUCCACUGGUGUAUUUGUGCUCCCACCACUCAAAUCUCAAAUAAUAAAAGUUAGAGGUGUAGCUCUAUUUCCAAUUCCAGGUAUUGCUUCUUCGACAAUUUGACAUGGCUGGAACUGAACGUGCUACACGUAUACUAUGACUUAAAUAACUUGGGCGAAGAGAUACAUAAGACAAAACAGCACAAAUAAGGACAACCUCAAAUCGAUUCCUGAAAAUUAUAAGAGGACAUAGCAGUUUGCUAAUGGUCCUCUAAACACACAUUCCAUGCAUGAUAAGUAGCACUCAAGGAUCAAAUGACUGCAUAUAAUUAACUGUGUCCAUGUUACAUGCUUGAAAAAUAUUGACA
rnacentral:lncRNA from 1 species